rnacentral:rRNA from 1 species
GACGAACGCUGGCGGCGUGCUUAACACAUGCAAGUCGAACGAUGAAGCCGGAGCUUGCUCUGGUGAAUUAGUGGCGAACGGGUGAGUAACACGUGAGUAACCUGCCCUUGACUCUGGGAUAACUGCGGGAAACUGUAGCUAAUACCGGAUACGACCAUCGGAGGCAUCUCCUGGGGGUGGAAAGAAUUUCGGUCAAGGAUGGACUCGCGGCCUAUCAGCUAGUUGGUGAGGUAAAGGCUAACCAAGGCGACGACGGGUAGCCGGCCUGAGAGGGUGACCGGCCACACUGGGACUGAGACACGGCCCAGACUCCUACGGGAGGCAGCAGUGGGGAAUAUUGCACAAUGGGCGCAAGCCUGAUGCAGCAACGCCGCGUGAGGGAUGACGGCCUUCGGGUUGUAAACCCCUUUUAGCAGGGAAGAAGCGAAAGUGACGGUACCUGCAGAAAAAGCACCGGCUAACUACGUGCCAGCCGCCGCGGUAA